rnacentral:ncRNA from 1 species
UGGGCUGGUCGAAAGACCCGGGCCCACCAAAUGGCGGGUAUCUUACCC